AAGCUUGUUCACUAGGUGUAGCGGGCUAUUGACUCUUGAUGUCCCGCAGUUAACGCAUUAAGUGAACUUCCCGGGGAGUACGGCCGCAAGGUUAAAACUCAAUGGAAUUGACGGGGGCCCGCACAAGCGGUGGAGCAUGUGGUUUAAUUGGACGCAACGCGAAGAACGUUACGUGGAUUUGACAUCCCGGGAAUCCUAUCGAAAGACUGGAGUGCCCUUCGGGGAGCCUGGAGACAGGUGCUGCAUGGCUGUCGUCAGUUCGUGUCGUGAGAUGUUGGGUUAAGUCCCGCAACGAGCGCAACCCUUGUCUUUAGUUACCAUCAUUCAGUUGGGGACUCUAAAGAUACUGCCCCGGUCAACGGGGAGGAAGGUGGGGAUGACGUCAAGUCCUCAUGGCCUUUAUGUCCAGGGCUACACACGUGCUACAAUGGGCUGUACAAAGGGUCGCGAACCCGCGAGGGUAAGCCAAUCCCAAAAAGCAGUCCCAAGUUCGGAUUGGAGUCUGCAACUCGACUCCAUGAAGCUGGAAUCGCUAGUAAUCGCGGAUCAGCAUGCCGCGGUGAAUACGUUCCCGGGCCUUGUACACACCGCCCGUCACACCAUGAGAGUUGGUUGUACCAGAAGUCGUCGGGCUAACCUUUUUAAGGAUGCAGGCGCCUAAGGUAUGGCUGAUAAUUAGGGUGAAGUCGUAACAAGGUA
rnacentral:rRNA from 1 species